AUGCUCUCUUUGGCAGCACGUAUAGUAAAAUUGGAAUGAAACGGAGAAAAUUGGCAUAGCCCCUGUAUAAGCAGGACACUCACAUUUUUGAAGCAUUCCAGAUUUUU